GAGAUGCGCAUUUAUUUUCAUUCUAACGUAAUCGCCAAAAUUGCUAAUGAAAAUACCUAAAUCAAACGAUUAGUGUUAAAUAUAAAAAUGUUUAAACACCAUUUUUUAAUAGCUUAAGCUUUUAGAGUACAACGGUUGUUUCACAUGGUAUCAAAGCAGGAGGUGCUGAGUUCGAGUCACGCCAGGCUCCUAGUAUAUUAAUUUUUUCCUAUUUAAUUUAAACCCACGUCAUGGGCCGAUUAAAAAGUUUCGAGCCCAGACGUGAGGGGGAGUGUUAAAUAUAAAAAUGUUUAAACACCGUUCUCUAACAGCUUAAAUUUUUAGAGUACAACGAUUGUUUCACAAUUAGUAAACAGAGAAAGAAAAGGUUUCAGAGAGUCGAAAAGGAAAAGGAAUUAAAAUUUAGGGGUGUGUAAUAUGAAUAAAAAAGUUGGAAUUUCAAA
rnacentral:lncRNA from 1 species